GUUGAGAGGAAUGUUGUCUGGCUCGAGGUCAUGGAGGAGGAGGAGAGUAUUGAGAUGAGUGAAAGUUUCCAAUGGAAAUUUACCCUCUUAACACAAAAAAAAAAAUUGAUUCGCGGACCAGGCUUCAUUCCCCACACC
rfam:Glycine soja cultivar W05 scaffold2622_9, whole genome shotgun sequence.